rnacentral:sRNA from 1 species
GUAGCCGCCGGUUAGAUCAAACAACGUAUAAUCGUCGAUCGUGAAAUUCUGGGCGUCGGUGAGUUCGAAGAUGU